AAGCGGCAACAGCUCAAAUUUGAAAUCUGGCGCAAGCCCGAGUUGUAAUUUGUAGAGGAUGCUUCUGGGUAGCGGCCGGUCUAAGUUCCUUGGAACAGGACGUCAUAGAGGGUGAGAAUCCCGUAUGUGACUGGCUUGCACCCUCCACGUAGCUCCUUCGACGAGUCGAGUUGUUUGGGAAUGCAGCUCUAAAUGGGAGGUAAAUUUCUUCUAAAGCUAAAUACCGGCCAGAGACCGAUAGCGCACAAGUAGAGUGAUCGAAAGAUGAAAAGCACUUUGGAAAGAGAGUUAAAAAGCACGUGAAAUUGUUGAAAGGGAAGCGCCCGCAACCAGACUUUGCGGCAGUGUUCGGCCGGUCUUCUGACCGGUUUACUCGCUGUCGUGAGGCCAUCAUCGUCUGGGACCGCUGGAUAAGACCUUAGGAAUGUAGCUCCCCUCGGGGAGUGUUAUAGCCUCUGGUGAUGCAGCGCGUCUCGGGCGAGGUCCGCGCUUCGGCAAGGAUGAUGGCGUAAUGGUUGUCGGCGGCCCGUCUUGAAACACGGACCAAGGAGUCUAACAUCUAUGCGAGUGUUCGGGUGUCAAACCCCUACGCGUAAUGAAAGUGAACGGAGGUGGGAACUUUUUGUGCACCAUCGACCGAUCCUGAUGUCCUCGGAUGGAUUUGAGUAAGAGCAUAGCUGUUGGGACCCGAAAGAUGGUGAACUAUGCCUGAAUAGGGUGAAGCCAGAGGAAACUCUGGUGGA
rnacentral:rRNA from 2 species